CAGCGCCGCGGUAAUACGGAGGGGGCUAGCGUUGUUCGGAAUUACUGGGCGUAAAGCGCACGUAGGCGGCUUGGUAAGUUAGAGGUGAAAGCCUGGAGCUCAACUCCAGAAUUGCCUUUAAGACUGCCGAGCUAGCAGGUGAGAGAGGUAAGUGGAAUUCCGAGUGUAGAGGUGAAAUUCGUAGAUAUUCGGAAGAACACCAGUGGCGAAGGCGGCUUACUGGCUCAUACUGGACGCUGAGGCACGAAAGCGUGGGGAGCAAACAGGAUUAGAUACCCCUGUAGUCCCUGUCUCUUAUACA
rnacentral:rRNA from 1 species